rnacentral:rRNA from 1 species
UGAGGCCUUGUCAUCAACCUUCAUUCUUGUAGGUGCACUUGACUUGGUUUCGGCCAGCAUCAAUUUUAGCGGUGGUAUAAUGUCUUUGGGAAUGUGGCUUUCUUCGGGAAGUGUUAUAGCCCAAGGUCAAUGCUGCCAGCUGGGAUUGAGGACCGCGCUUCGGCUAGGAUGCUGGCAUAAUGAUCUUAAGUGACCCGUCUUGAAACACGGACCAAGGAGUCA